rnacentral:tRNA from 1 species
GCGCGGUUGCACGAGGCGUUGCCGGCCGUUCCCGACGGCCGCAAGCUGCCGUGGUUCGGGCCACCGAUGAGCGCCGCGUCGAUGGCGACC